rnacentral:rRNA from 1 species
AUUGAACGCUGGCGGCAGGCCUAACACAUGCAAGUCGAGCGGAUGAAGGGAGCUUGCUCCUGGAUUCAGCGGCGGACGGGUGAGUAAUGCCUAGGAAUCUGCCUGGUAGUGGGGGAUAACGUCCGGAAACGGGCGCUAAUACCGCAUACGUCCUGAGGGAGAAAGUGGGGGAUCUUCGGACCUCACGCUAUCAGAUGAGCCUAGGUCGGAUUAGCUAGUUGGUGGGGUAAAGGCCUACCAAGGCGACGAUCCGUAACUGGUCUGAGAGGAUGAUCAGUCACACUGGAACUGAGACACGGUCCAGACUCCUACGGGAGGCAGCAGUGGGGAAUAUUGGACAAUGGGCGAAAGCCUGAUACAGCCAUGCCGCGUGUGUGAAGAAGGUCUUCGGAUUGUAAAGCACUUUAAGUUGGGAGGAAGGGCAGUAAGUUACUACCUUGCUGUUUUGACGUUACCAACAGAAUAAGCACCGGCUAACUUCGUG